GCUCAACUAUCGAACUGCCAUUGAUACUGCAGAUCUAGAAUAUAGAUGAUGUUGGCGGAAUAUGACAUGUAGCGGUGAAAUGCAUAGAUAUGUCAUAGAACACCGAUUGCGAAGGCAGCUGACAAAACUAUUAUUGACGCUGAUGCACGAAAGUGCGGGGAUCAAACAGGAUUAGAUACCCUGGUAGUCCGCACAGUAAACGAUGAUAACUAGUUGUUUGCGAUAUACAGUAAGCGACCAAGCGAAAGCGAUAAGUUAUCCACCUGGGAGUACGCCGGCAACGGUGAAACUCAAAGGAAUUGACGGGGCCCGCACAAGCGGAGGAGCAUGUGGUUUAAUUCGAUGAUACGCGAGGAACCUUACCAGGGCUUGAAAAGUAAGGAAUGAUUAUGAAAGUAGUCAGUCAGCAAUGACCUAAAACUAGGUGCUGCAUGGCUGUCGUCAGCUCGUGCCGUGAGGU
rnacentral:rRNA from 1 species